UUUCAGGAACCGUGCGAAUAAACGCCGUCCAACCCCGCCAGGUCUGGAAGGAAGCAACGGUAGACGGAGGUUGUUGCGCCGCGGACACCCCUGGAAGCA
rnacentral:SRP_RNA from 1 species